rnacentral:rRNA from 1 species
GAUGAACGUUGGCGGCGUGGAUUAGGCAUGCAAGUCGUACGGUGGUUUCCUUUCGGGGAGGCCAUAGUGGCGAAAGGGAGAGUAACGCGUGGUUACAUGCCCUCGAGACCGGGAUAGCGGCGGGAAACUGCCGGUAAUACCGGAUAAUAUCUUUGGAUCAAAGGUGUGAUUCCGCUCGAGGAUUGGACCGCGUUCUAUUAGCUUGUUGGCGGGGUAAUGGCCCACCAAGGCGACGAAGGAUACCGGGUGUGAGAGCAUGGCCCGGCUCACUGGGACUGAGACACUGCACAGACACCUGCGGGUGGCUGCAGUCGAGAAUCUUCGGCGAUGGGGGAAACCCUGACCGGGCGACGCCGCGUGCGGGACGAAGGCCUUCGGGUUGUAAACCGCUGUCAGUUGGGAGGAAAUGCUGGGGGUUCUCCCCUCAGUUUGACCGAUCUUCAGAGGAAGGACGGGCUAAGUUCGUGCCAGCCGCCGCAGUAAUAC